UACGUAGGGAGCAAGCGUUGUCCGGAAUCAUUGGGCGUAAAGCGCGCGUAGGCGGCCUCAUAAGUCCGUUGUGAAAGUCAAAGGCUCAACCUUUGAAAGCCGAUGGAUACUGUGAGGCUAGAGUUCGGAAGAGGCGAGUGGAAUUCCUGGUGUAGCGGUGGAAUGCGCAGAUAUCAGGAGGAACACCAAUAGCGAAGGCAGCUCGCUGGGACGAUACUGACGCUAAGGCGCGAAAAGCGUGGGGAGCAAACAGG
rnacentral:rRNA from 1 species